GGGCCCGUAGCUCAGCCAGGAUAGAGCGCCGGCCUCCUAAAGAAGCCGGUGGUCGGGGGUUCGAAUCCCCCCGGGCCCGCCA
rnacentral:tRNA from 1 species